UUGCUAAGGUGUUGCUAGGUGGUUGCUAAGGUGUUGCUAGGCGGUUGCUAAGGUGUUGCUAUGGUGUCUGGGGUGGUUGCUAAGGUGUUGCUAGGUGGUUGCUAAGAUGUUGCUAUGGUAUCUGGGGUGGUUGCUAAGGUGUUGCUAGGUGUAUCUAACUGGUCGCUAGGCAGUUGCUACCAUUUCUAAAGUGGUUGCUAAGCAGUUGCUAGGCAGUUGCUAACGUUUUCCAGGUGGUUGCUAAGGUGUUGCUAUCUGGUUGCUAGGCAGUUGCUAACGUAUUACACAUGGUUGCUAAGUGGUUGCUAGGCAGUUGCUAAUGUUUUCCAGGUGGUUGCUAAGGUGUAUCUAACUGGUUGCUAGGCAGUAGUAGAUAAAAAGAAAGAGUGUUAAAUGUAGAAGUACAGAAAAAGGGAGAGCCUGAAAUAGAGAAGUAGAGAGAAAAUCAGCGUGAGAAGUAGAGAAAGAACACCCGAGAAUGUGAGAAAAAGAGUGACAAGUAGAGAGAAAUAUUGAGCGAGAGAAAGAGAAUUAGGGAAAAAGAGAGAUCGAGAAAUAAAGAAGUAGAGAAAGAAAAAGGAUGUAGUAGAGAGAUAGAUAGAAAGAGAAAGCAAGACAGAAAAGUAGAGUGAAAGAGAAGUAGAGAGAAGAGCGAGAAAUAAAGAGAGAGUAAGAGAGAAAUAGAGAAAUAGAAAAGUAGAAAGAAAGAGACAUAGAAAAGUAGAGAGAGUGAGAAAGAGAGAGUGAGAAAUAGAGAAGUAGAGAGAGAGUGAGAAAGAGAGAGUGAGAAAUAGAGAAGUAGAGAGAGUGAGAAAUAGAGACGUAGAGAGAGAGUGAGAAAGAGAGUGAGAAAUAGAGAAGUAGAGAGAGAGUGAGAAAUAGAGACGUAGAGAGAGAGUGAAAAAGAGAGUGAGAAAUAUAGAAGUAGAGAGAGUGAGAAAUAAAGAGAAAUAGAGACGUAGAGAGAGAGUGAAAAAGAGAGUGA